rnacentral:sRNA from 1 species
ACAGGUACAUAAUGAUGGGCGUAGACGC